AAAAAAAAAAAAAAACGUACUCCUUGAAUGGGAAAAGCCGUUGGCUCUCCUUCCCUUCCUUCACCUGUGUUUGGCUGGUACUCGAAAAAUCACAGCUGCAACCCAAUUUUUCAGGGUAGCUCUACGCAAUCUGUGGUCUUAUUUAGAGACUUGCCUACUAAUCGGCGAAAGCAGUUGCUAUGGGGCACACUUUGUAAGCGAAAGUCUCAGGUGGGCACCUUACAGAAAAGAUGUUACGUUUGAGGUGCUGUGCUCAGUCAAAGCCUGACAAGCUCUGUUGACGAACAAUCUAGGUUGAUUGAAAAUCCUGCUAAAGAAAUUGUCCAAUUUUUAUGGCUUGCUAUUGAUUUAAGAGAGUGCAUCUCUUGAAUUACUGAAGUGGGUUCAAACAAAAAUCUCGAAUGAGAUUGUUAGAUUGCAGACUGAGCAGUGUUUUAAUUCAAUUAUACUUCACUGACUAGUUUCCCACGCCCUACAUAAGUGGUCUAUUUAAUCUGAACGCCUAACCAUGGUGUUCUUGGAAUUUAGGCAUUGAUUUUGCAAACUGAAGAUUUUCUGCAUGAAUACAUGCCAAUAGUAGAAUCUUUACCAUGUAAGCAUGUACUUUCCUAAUCCAAUAAUUUAUUAAUGAUAAAUGAGUCUUUGCUUGAUAUGCAGUAGCUUUAGUUUUAAUUUUUAGGGAUCACAUGAAGACGAGCUCAAUAGUUUUGUUGAAAGGCAUGGUGAUCGAAUUGAGUUGUCCUAACAGGAGGGCCAUGGAGGACUAUGUAUAUGUAAGAAGAUAUAACAAAAAGCAAACUGAGCUUGUGUCCUUAAUUGCAUCAAUUGAAUGCCUUGUGCUGUUAAAUAUAUGUAGAUCCUAGUUCAUCUGCCCCUUUUUUGGUGUGAUGAUGACAUUAAUGUUCAGUCUUGGAGCAAUAUUUUCUUCUAUAAACAUAGAAUAUGUCAAAAUUUUAUCAGACUUCUACUUUUCAUGGCAAUGAAAGAUAAAUUUGGCCUUGGUUAUAUUGUUAAGCCAACUUGUCCCACGUUACAUAUAUGUUUAAUUGUUUAUAUAUUUCUGAAGCCAUGAAUCAUAUGGCAAAUUCUGCCUGAGGUAGCUUCAACUUCUUAAUUUAUGAAUCUAAAUGCUGUCUGCAUGGUUUCUGCUUGUUAUCUCUUUCUAGCGCACUAAAAUUGGCAAAGAUUUCUCAAUUUUCUGUCAAACUUCCAAGAUCAGAUUUCUGUGGAACUAAGUCACUUCAAGUUUGAUUUCAUGACCAUCCAGUGAUUGAGAUUCUUCCCUUGCUACUGCUCUGUAUUUCUAUCUCUGAUUUUAAUGGAGGGGGGACAGAGAUAUUUUUGAAGUGAACAAAAGUUUCAUUUAGAGGUUCAAACUGGACUGGUCUACAUCCUUAUCUCGAAAAUCAGGGUAUCUACAUAAGUAGAAUUACACAUGCAAAACAAAAUUGUUCCCAGGUGGAGCCAAAAGACAUCUAUUGCACAAGAUAUAACUUGCUUAAAAUGCUUUUCCUAGUCCCAGUUUUGCAUUAAUUUGCAGUGUUUCCACUGUCCAACCAUGGACAAAAUGGAAAGAUAUCUUGGUCCAGGUCUUCAAGGAGUCUGUCUAAAGGAUUUGGGUGGGAUUGACAGGAAGGGUUUGGUUCUUCCCAUUCAUGCAUAAGAGACAGUUGUGCAUCCAUUUGACUGUCAAAAGCUUGGUUACCAGUUACAUAUCCUGAAUUGUUUGCUUGUGCAGCUGACUGAUUCUGAUAGUAUUGCAUGUUGAUGGCAUCUUGAAGUGAAGAAAUCCGCAUCUCGCAGUUUGGGUUUGAAGUUGUUUGUGAACUUCCACAACUAGCAAUACCAACUGUGAAAUUAGCCAUUUGGUGCUCAAGAAUGUCUAUCUCCUCUUGUAAGCUGGCUAUCUGCAAGACAAGUUAAAGAAUGCAUAAAUUUGUGUUUUGAGUUAAAUUGACUUAAACUAUAGGGGGAUUGUACAAAUGUUGAGGCUGUUGGAGAAAGAACAGAGAAACCUGUUGUUGAAGUGCAAAAAUAUGAGCAACACAACCAUAUAUGGGAUCCUGCAUCCGUGCGAGUGCUUCAUAAGAUAUGGUUAUAGCAGCAUCACUUCGAUUCUGUACUGGCAGGUGUAAUAAUAGCUUUGAAACAUUGCUUGCGCCAAACACCUUGUGCACUGCUGCAAAGUGUGUUGCAGCCUCGUCAUAACAGAAGUAAGGUCAUCAGGUUUGGCUGUUGGCCACUUAUUAAUAAUGGGUCGGUGGCUGCUCUAAACUUGAACAGGAUUCAUCUGAUUGCUCCCAAAGCCAGGAGAGAAAUUCACAUGCUUAUCAGCAAUAGUUGCAACUUGUAAGUGCUCAAUCUUUUUUAUCUCUGCUAAUGCCUCAAGGCUCUAGAAGGAAAGCAAGCUUGGGCAAAUGAGAAAGGGAGAGAGAAAGAGAGAUGGGGACAAAACGCCAUUUUCAGUGACAUUAAUUCCUACCUUUUGUCUUUUCAAAACUCUGUAGUUUUUUUUCUUGGGAUCACAUUUAUGAAUGAAUGAAUGACAAGGGAGAAAGUGUUCUGGGAUGGUGGAGAGCUUUUCGGCUUUCGGGUUUAACGAUGAAAGUGUCUUUCUCUAUCAUGGAAAUAUGACCAACGUUAUCCAUUUGCUUGCUGGCUCUUGCCAUACAUGCCUAUUUGCAGCAAAUUCCAAAUGUAUAAAAUUUAAGCAUAGGCUAUAGGCAAAAAUUCCAGUUAUUCUAAAAAAUUUGAGCUGUCAUCAACUUUAAAAUCAUAAAGAAGUCUCAACAUCUUACUGAAAGCAAACAUCCUUCUAUCCUCUCUCCAGUAGGAAACCAAUUUUAUAAUAUUCUGUGAGUUAAGAAUUGAUAAUAGUUCCUUGAUCUAGAUUACUUUUAUACUCUGCUUCAAUUUUCUGCAUAGAGUUAAUUAGAUUCUUGUAUUAUUGAUUCUAUUCUAUGGAACAAUUCCUUGUAUCCAGAACAUAGGCACUCUAUCAGCUUGCAUGCUUGAUCAAAUUAUGGAAACCUGCAAGGAUUGAAGGUGCUAGGAUAGGUCGCUAUGUUCUUGCGUUGAGCACUGAGAUAAAAAAAAAACACUGGUAGACCAACUAUGGCAAGGGCUGGGGAUGUCUACACGUUUGGUUCCCUCAGCCCUAAGCCAAUGCCUAGCACCCUUAGGUCGGUUGGGGGUAUUAUUAUUUUUUAUCCAAUUGCCAAUGUGCUUCUCAGCAGUUCCUAACAAGCAUGGGCUUAUCUAUUGGAAGUUCCAAGGUCCAGACCAUCCUGGCCCCGAACUUCAGAGUCCCCUCUGUUUCAACUUUUAAGAAGCUUACACGCCGUUUGCGAGGAUGAUUUUUUAAGGUAAUGAAAGUUCUUUUAAGGUUUAAAAACUAAAUCUUGAAAUUGAGAGAGUUUUUAAAAUAAGGUAAAAUACUUUUAGUUUCAAACCUUCUUAAAAAUUUUUAACU